UACGUAGGUGGCGAGCGUUGUCCGGAUUUACUGGGCGUAAAGAGCGCGCAGGCGGCUGGUCAAGUCCGAUGUGAAAGCUCCCGGCUUAACUGGGAAAUUGCAUCGGAAACUGAUCGGCUGGAAGGUGGGAGAGGGUAGCGGAAUUCCCGGUGUAGUGGUGAAAUGCGUAGAUAUCGGGAGGAACACCAGUGGCGAAGGCGGCGAUCUGGGCAGAUACUGACGCUGAGGUGCGAAAGCGUGGGGAGCAAACAGG
rnacentral:rRNA from 1 species